ACCUAUAAUUUAUAACUACAGGUUCUCCAAGUUAGACAAAGGCUUCCUUCAUACUUGAAGCAAAGCUUUUUUUAUAUCUUCAUGUCAUAUGAGUUGUAGUUUUUCGGAUCAUCUACACACUUCAGAGAAGUUACUUUAGGUUGCUAAAAGCAAGAUAAAGUAAUACAUGCUGUGCAUGUUUGACACAGUUCUUCCCGAUUCUGAAUUUAGCUAUUUGUAUUUUUCAUUUUAGUGGAACUUCGGUACACAUGACCACAGUAACAUUAUUUUCACAAUGUCACUAGAGACGAGGGCAACCUUAUUUGUGACAAUUAUUAGAGUUGGAUAGAAGAAGUGGUGUGUAGUGGCAUCUAACGAAUUGUGAAAUGAGCGACAUCUAACAAUUCUCACUAAAUUUACCUUUCUGUUCUUAUGAAAUGAAGAUUUGAAAAGGAGGAACAGGGUACUGAACUUUUAUAUAUCUGCAUAAUCUACAUCCGAAGUUAAGCAGUACACAAAUUAGUAAAUGGAGGAACAUGGCAAUUUUAAGCUUACUACAUGCAGAAUUAUGUCGCUGCAGCUCUUUUAGUACUCAUGUGUAGAUUUUCCUACAGCAAUAUUACUUGCAUUCAGUUUCGUGCCGUCAUGGAAAUUCAUAUGUGCGUUCUGCAGCAUGUUUAGAAUAAUACUUUGCAAGGGACAGCAGCCCGACGUCGAGCAGUAGCAGCAACAUGUUCUGCAGCUUCGAUGACCCUGAUGAAUCUGCUAUAGUGCUCAACUCCUGCUAGGAGGGCAUGGAGGAGUUUCCCCUUGAACUACACGACCUGAUUCUCAUAUCAUUGUUCUACUGACGCUCACUUCACCUGAACGGCUGGACCAGAUGAUAGUGGAUAUACCCAGUGUAGUAUAUUGUUAUAAGGUUGUGUAUUAGCUUCCAGUGAUUUUGCUCUCACUGGUAUCUCGAUAAAGCUUGAAGUAUAUGUGGAUGUCUUGCUCAGUUCAAUUAGUAAUAGUAUUAGCUUGAAGCGCCAUCCAUACUCAGUUUCAACUAGACACCUCCAUGGAUAGCCCCCUUGCCAUUAUAUUGAAGGUUAGUGUUGUUACCUGUUGCUCAACGUUGCACUUUUAGUACUCUAGCUGCUUUGUAGGCGAAAUCGCCACCACCUGCAACCGUGCCCUCAGGCUUCCCUCAGACCGUCCUUAUCAAUUGUAGUCUCUGCUCGCCCAUGUUAAGUCCCUCCUUUUAGAAAGGGCCUCCCUCGACGGUGGCCUCCCCUGGAAGCUCUUGAACCUACAAUGGAGUCGGUUCCCUGUCAGUAUGAAAUUCUUGCGUUUGGCCGUCAGACUAUUAGUUGUAACCAUGUUAUUCUGUCAAGCUUUUCCAUUGAGUUGCCGAAACAAUAUCAAAGUAGAAGAUGUUAAAUAUGAAAGUACCAAGUUAUGUACUCUGCUAUUGUGGUUGUGAAGCUCGUACAGUCUGCUUGAUGUUCGCACCAAAUUUCCUUCAGGCAACAGGAUGAUGAGUUCAGUGCAAGUCUUCAGAUUGCAGGGCUAAUCAUAGGCAAAGAAUUCUGGACUUCUGUGGGUUUUCAUGAAUGAUUUUGAAAUGAAGAAUAGUUGUUAAGUUAUUAUUUUUGCUAAAAGAGUAGCGUCGCAAAAAAGAGUAUUGCUAGGGAAGUAGCUAGAGUACAUGCUACUAUUUUUAUAGGGAAGAGCCUAAACGACCCAACUUAUGCAGUCUACAGAUGUUGCUUACGAAAUUGGGUAUAGAGCCAUGCAUCUGCAACCAUCUAUUAGCAACAUCAGAGAAGCGUAUUGCAGCAGAAGAUUCAAGGGUGAUAACGCAACGAAGAAAAAAAUUGUGUUGUGGGAGAAGAAAUUCUUGCCCCAUAGGCUUUUAGUUUAAAAGUUUCCAUUACAUACAGUUUCACUCUGUUCAUAUGAUACAUUUGUUAUCACUCGGUAUUCUGCUCAAGGGGAACUGAUACUUCCUCAUAUGAGAAUUCUUAUCCUUCUGAUUAUGUCAUGCCUUUUGGUCUGCCCUGGCUUAGGUAGUUUGUGUUGACUCCUUUAUUAUUCAGUGAUUUGCCAGCUAUUCAUGGAUUCAGCAACAGACUGGGUUUGCUUUGUCCCAAGAUCAUGGAUACUUGAAUGCCCUUUAUUGACCAUGUAUUUGAGAGGCCACUUCUGAUUGCUUUUGUAUUUUUAUGCAUAUUUUAAGCUUGUGGAACCCAUUUAUUUUCUCAAAAAUCUCACUUGUGCAUGCUAAUCUCGGGAACUAUAUUCAGACAUCCCUUGCCCCUCUUAUGCGGGUCAUUUUGCAUUUUGCUUUUGUGUUAGAAUAAGUAAUUAAUAUUAUGUAAUCAGAACCACUUUUUGUUCGUAUGGGAUUGUCCUGUAU